AACCUUCGAUGAAGGAAUGCCCGUUCACGCAUAUCGUCACAGAAGACGCUGUAACUGAGAAUCGAAUGGGCAACGGAACUGUGAGGAGACAAUGCUACUGCAGCACCACCACCGCUAUACCAAUAUAAAAGUCUUUACACCAAGAAUAUACUGCUCUAUAAACAACUCCUUGUGUCUUACAACUGUACCUGCCCAACACAGGCAACGUCCUAUCUAAAUGGGGUAAUUCUAUAAAAUGGCCUUCAAGAAUAUAUCUACAAACAACACAAGAACCAUAUUUGUGCAUUCCCCUAGACCUUCCACUUGGAACAGUUUCAACCACAUUAUACCUGCCCCUUUGUAGACAUCUCUUUAAAUUAAAAGUAUUUUUAAAAACAAAUCUCAGUCUAUCCCCCACUUUUCUAAUAAAAUCAGAAUUGCCUUUAAUUAUGUUCCAGUUCUUGUUAAUGAUAGGCACAAUGCUUUGUCAAUCCACUGUCAUGUACAAACAACAAAAACUAGCGUUUCUUCCCAUUUUCAGACAAUGACACAUUGUUAGUAUCCCUCACAACCAGUCCUGACUUUAAUAUAGGAAGGAUAUCAGUUUGGCUUCUGCCCUUUUAUUUCUUUAACCAACCUCUCUAACAGAUGGUGCUUGUAACCUCUUUCAGCAAACACAUUAACAAUUGGUCUGACCUCAUCCUCAAAUACCUUGCCAUCUGAUGUCAUCCUAGAGGCCCGUAUCAACUGCCCCUUAGGAAUGUUGGUCUUCAUAUAGACAGGAUGCUUACUAGCAUAAUGUAUGUAACUAUUAAGAAAAGUGUCUUUUCUAUAAAUCCUACUGAUGAAAUUACAAUUACAAGUAAAGGGUUCCCAUUUUACAGAAACAUCUAAAAAAUGUACUUCAGACCCUGUGCCCUCCCUUGGUGAAAUGCAAAAAUCCUGACUAUUCAUUUAAACUAAAAAUUAGAUUGUACGACACUUCUUUUUCCUGUACCUUCAAUAACAAAAAAUAAAUAAUCAACAAAUCUAACAUAAAACUUAAAUCUGGCCAUAACAUGCUUCAACAUUUCCUGUUCCCACCAUCCAAGGACUAAAUUAGCAUAGGCCAGAGCCACAGCAGAGCCCAUAGCUACACCUUUUUGUUGUUUAUAAACCUUCUUAUUAAAUAAAAAAUAGUUGUUAUGCAAAAGAAGCUCCAACCGUGUACUGCAAACAUAUGUCAUUUUCAGAAAGGGAAGUAAAGUUAGAAACAACCUCACAGACUUGACUCUAAAAUCAUGAGGUAUACAAGUAAACAAGGAACAAAUAUCAACUGUGAACAUGACAUUCCUUCCAAAUCAAAUUCAACCAUGAAACUUCAAAAAAUCCCAUGGAUCCCUAAUAUAAGAAUCCAUUUUUUGUACUAUAGGGUUUAAGAAAAAAUCCAAUACUAAAGAAUUACCUUCAGUUACAGAGUUGGGUGAAGAAACUACAGGUCGGAAAGGGGGGUUUAAACAAUCUAUGAAUCUUGGGGAUCCCGAAAAAGACCCCCCAACAAAGGCUCUUCUACCAUCAUGAAAUCAAACAUAUCAGACAAAAUGAAACCAGUCAUUAGCAACUCAUACAAUUCAGCCCAUAUUUUCCUAUAACAAAAACAGAGUGUUCACAAUUGAAUAUUCGCUAGUAUUUUCCAACAUUUUUUCAGUGACCUGGACAUACUUGUCUUGCUCCAUGAUGACAAGCCCCCCUCCCUUGUCAGCUUUAAUAAAUCUUAAAUGGGUAAGUCUUUUUAGUUCAUCUGAUGUACUUCGUCGUUCCAAAGAAUGGUUGACAAAAGGUCUGUUAACCUUAGUACACAUUAAAUUCCUAAUAUCCUCCUCACAACAAUUUUCAAAAACUUUCAAAGUAUUCACUAGAGCAGGAUUAUAAGAACUUGGCUUACAAAAAGCACUGUUUUAACAGCAACAUCAGAAAAUGCAUAAGAAAGAUUCAAUUUAUGACUAAACAUUUUUAAAUCAAUGUCCCACUCAAAUCCACCCUUUUAGUCAGGAUAAAAUUCAACCCCAAUGAUAAAACGGAAAGUUGUCCUGCAUUGAACUGGUAUUCAGAUAAAUUGAACAGUUCUGCAGUUACUUCCUACAGAAACAUGGCAUUCAGUACCCUCUACUUCUUUCUCGGCCUCCCUGAAGCUUUUCUGGAUGCAACUUCGACAUCCUUCUUCCGAAUGGAGUCGCUCACCAUCCCGUUCUCUAAAGGGGAAGCUGAAUUCUCAUUGAUAUUGUCCUCUCCGGGCACUGCUCUGAUGUCAUCAGCUACUUCCCCUGUAUCUUCAAAGGAUGAAUUAAAUUUCGAAGGGCCGUCAUCCUCCAUGUACAAACCACAGGGUUCAGGGCUGUACAUCGCAAGUUUCAUUCCUCCCGGCUGAUUUUAAUUGUUCUGUAGUUGCCGUGGUAACCACUGUCUCUCUGGAGAAAAUUAAAGGGCCUCUGUGCACUUUUCACUUCCGAAAAGUGAGAAUAUGCACUGUUCACCCCAUAAGCUGCUACAUCCCUCUGCAAUUUUUUCACUUUCCUAUGGAUCAAGCCUUUCUCAAAAUCCUCAAUAUUUGCCAACAUCUCCGAAUAGUCAUUCUUUGAAGCUGGUAAGCUAGCCAACAACUUUUGUAAAAAAAAAAUCCUCUGCCCUGAUCAUCUCCUCACACUUUUCCAAUCCGUAAUUUGUUCCUGCUGACUAACAACUGCAGUAAUUCUAGACCAGCUUUAUUAAAAAAGGACACAACUUCCUCGAAGAACUGUUCAGAAGGCGUCACUCUAUUAGGACACUUCGAGUUUUAGACCCUUAAGGACCACUUUUAGGCAGAUAAACUUCUCAAAAUAUUUAGUUUUAGCCACAAAAACCCAGUACUUCUUUAACUUCUCCAAACUAUUCAACAAUGCUCUAAUCUCCUUUUCAGUAUCAGGAGUCCUUAACAGCCUAGUCAGCGAACCCAGGCCAGUGUCUCUGCUAACAAACGUAUCAUAGUCACUGUUCAACAUACUUUUAAUGUCCGUAAAACAGCCAUUAGGGCCAUGUUUAGAACCAGUGUCCCUUCUGUGGUCAGUAACAGUAGUUUCACAAAUGUCUUCCUCUCAACUGACAGAGGAGGAAAGAAAACAUUUCUAUAUGUUUUUAUAUCCUUGGCUCUUAUCAGUUCAUCCAGAGUCUUCUGCUGUUCACAGAUCUCAUUAACACUGCCAACAUAUCACCACCUUUAGAAGUGGGUAUAGGAUAAACCGACAAAUCCAAAAGAGGAUCCUUGUUCACACCAGCCAUUGCAGGAAACCAAAUUCACAACCACAAAAAACUGUAAGAUUUCCACAAGGUGGAGCGGUAUCAAACAAACCAAAAAUAAAUCCGCUAGUCAGAAAGAACAGGAUCCAAACACUGUAACUGGCAAAAAACACCCUUUAUUAUUGCCUUCCUCCCAAAAGGAACUUCUUCAGAACACAAAACAGAACUGAACACAUCUCUUAAAAAGCACAAGCCACCCCCUCCAAUUAACACACCCUGCAAACAAUUACUUAAUAAAUUCUAAUAUACAGUUGAAGUAAAGAAACAAACACACUACCCUAUUAAGAAAAUAUAAAAUUUACAGCAAACUUGUAUACAUUUUUAACCUCCUAUUCUUUAAAAAAAAACAUUUCAUAUUAAUAGUGUCAUUUAAACCAGGCCUUUUGUCUGCCUCCAAUUUCAGGUGUAGCAUGUGAUAAAAUGUUUCUUUUUUUUUUUUUUUUUUUUAACAAAAGCUUCAUCGUGUAGGAAGAGAAUGUCAGUGGGGAUGUGUGAAAAGAAAAAAGUAAUAUAAAACUUGAGGACAAAAGAAAUUAAAGUAUGAAUGCCUACACUUAUAGUGACAGAGCAGUACUUUAGCAGCUAUUGAUUGAUCAAGAUUUGAUAUGUGAAUGACUAGAGAAAGGUGAACUUAAAGCAAAAGAUGGCAGGCUGAUUGUGGCAGUACAAGGUAAUGGGGCACCUGGAAAAUAGUUUGCAAAAUGGAGGGGAAUGGGGAGACUGCAAUUUUGCAAGACAGACCUAAGAAUAGUUACAGACCUUUUAGCUUGUGAAUGUAGAAUGGCAUCCAUUUUUAACAUAGCAUGUGGGUGACAGUAACUGUAUGGCUAAGGGCUUGUAUAUUGAAAGAGUUUGUAAUGACACGAGGUACAUUACAAAAUGUAAAAAACUAACAACAUGUAAGUAGCGUAGAAAAAGUGAAACUCAAACGACAAGGGAAAAGGUGCAAAUGAGUCACUGAUAAUGUUAUGGGAUCAUCCAAAAUUAAAUCAUAAAAAUGUUGUAGCUGAAGUAACAUAAAAAUACAGCAUAUCAAAAAUCGCAAUCAGAAACUAUAACAAUAUGCAACAAGGCUAUUGUUCCAGCACUCAUGCCAGCAACUGAACUAAUAAAAACAUUUGAAGCAUCUUCUAUUACCUUAUGAUUGUAUAGUUUGUCCAACAAUGAAAUUACAUCUAUGGGCAUUUACAAAGUUUUCUGAUAAUGGAAUGACAUUUGACCUUCAUAGUUUUAUGAAUGCAGUUUUUCACAUGAAAAGUUGAUGCAUCAAGAAAAUUACAACAUGGGGCAGGUGUAAUAACA